GUCUAAAUAUUCAAAAUAUGAUAUUAAAUUGCAAAUUUAAAGGUAAAUUUCAAAUUUUUUAGACU
rnacentral:tRNA from 1 species